rnacentral:misc_RNA from 1 species
GCUGGUUUCAUCAAUCAAACAGUCUCAUUGGUCUGUUUUAACAGAUAAAAAUUAAGCAUAAUCAACCAUUUAUUCUCCUGAGCACGCAUAAAGCCAAUCCAUAAUUUAGAUUCCCACAUACAUGCUCACUGAAAAUCCAUAAAUAACAUUCUUCCCAAAUACAUACCCAAUUUGUAAAAAUUACAAUCUGGCUUCGCAACAAAAUACAUGCACUCGCUUCAACUGAAACAAAUCCAAACACUUGGGUCAGACAGUUU